rnacentral:rRNA from 1 species
UACGUAGGGUGCGAGCGUUGUCCGGAAUUAUUGGGCGUAAAGAGCUCGUAGGUGGUUCGUUACGUCGGAUGUGAAAAUCUGGGGCUCAACCCCAGACCUGCAUUCGAUACGGGCGAACUAGAGUGUGGUAGGAGAGACUGGAAUUCCCGGUGUAGCGGUGAAAUGCGUAGAUAUCGGGAGGAACAUCAGUGGCGAAGGCGGCUCUCUGGACCAAAACUGACACUGAGGCGCGACAGCGUGGGGAUCAAACAGG